rnacentral:lncRNA from 1 species
AUGUCACUUCCUUGUUCUCGGGUAUUUCCUGUUUGCUUGCUCCAAGCUCAGGUCAAAAACCAGGCAUUUGCUCAGCAUAUCAAGAGCAAGAAGCAUUUAAUCCCCAAUGCUACUCUGUGGGAUUUGGAACACAGCUGGGACAUCACUAAGAUGGAUGCUCAGCUCAGAGGAGGUCUCAGGAAGAUGCCAGAGGUGCUGCCCCAUAGAAGUGCUCUUCUGGCUCUGCUCUUGAUCGCUGCCAUUCUGCCAUUCACAUGCUCCUAUGUUCUUAUUCAUCACACUAGCUCAGGAGGGCAAUGCCAAGAGUCUUGUGAAUAUCGUGGUUACAGUUACACCUGGUGCAAGCAACUGGGAGGCAAGAAGGCGGCCUGGGAUUACUGCUCCUCACAACCAGGUUUGGAGGCCUCUGGAAAAUGAUAUGCAACUCCCUGUGAGCUCUGGGGUGCUUCUUACCAUAGCUGCUAUUUGCAGGAUGGUAACUGGGGCUACUGUGGACUAAUUACCAGAUGGUAUCACGCCAAAUAUUCCCAAGAGAACAAGCUGUGUAUCAGCCAGUGCCGAGCAACCCAGGGAACUUUCCAGUGCAAUACACUUGAUGGCAUUGAACCCUGCGCCCCCUUCCCUGAUGUGACCACCAGAGGCCUCCCCUGCCACAACAACUACCCAUGUGCCCGUUAUGGGCACAGUGGAUACCGGUGCCAUACUGACAAAGAAGACGACAGCUGGGCAUACUGUGGGAGGAGGAGCCUGGAAGAAUGUGUGUGGAUUUCCCACCAGACCAAUGCUACCCAAGCAGAGUUCUGCAUCCUUAGUUAUGCCCAAGGAGGAGAUGACAAUAUCACUUUCCGCCGAGAGAGACAAGACAAAUUGAUCCAUCCUGCCAAAGAGCAGUUCCAAAAUGCUACCUACCUUAUUGAUAGCAUUACCUCCAGCAUCAGCAUCCCUGACUCUUGGGCCCUGGGCUCAGUGCGUCUACACAAGCAGGAAGAAAUCUUCUGUAAGGGCAUCAACUACACCAACUUGGUGAUGCAAAUAAGCAAAUCCACAGAGUUCUAUUUGCCCAUCGCUUGGGUUCUCUUCCCAAAGACCCUGGAUGCUGAUGAGUUCCUGCGCUUAGCACUGUACACUAGUCUCCAUAGUGCCUUUUACCCACCUGCUUACGCCAUUGUUGUAUCUCUUAGUGAACCAAUGUUGUGUUCCAUUAACACCUAUGACAUGAAGAACUAACUCAACCUGCUCCUUGCUUGACAUUGUCUAAUUUUAUGUUGCUGACUUCCCACAUUAACCUUUAUUUAGUCUUCACACUAUCACUGCCCAUCAUUUCACUGCAAAGAUGCAAAUAUUAUUAUUGUUCAUGUUGUGUAAAACACUGAAUCAAACAGAGUCCCUUCCUAAGAGCAUUCUAUCCUGAAAAGCAUUCAGAGAGCUGCCUAUUGCCAGUAAUUGUCUUUGUACACAGAGAUCACAAUCAUUCAUGCACGGUUGGAAUGUGACUGACUCUGCUUGUGCACUAUUUGUACUAAUCUCUCUCCAUAUGAGGUUAUAUUUGUGAAUUAAUUAUCUCCCCUUGGUACAGAUGACACAUUUCAAAUAAAG